GUGAGGGAGGACGGCCUUCGGGUUGUAAACCUCUUUCAGCAGGGAAGAAGCGCAAGUGACGGUACCUGCAGAAAAAGCGCCGGCUAACUACGUGCCAGCAGCCGCGGUAAUACGUAGGGCGCAAGCGUUGUCCGGAAUUAUUGGGCGUAAAGAGCUCGUAGGCGGUCUGUCGCGUCUGGUGUGAAAUCCCGAGGCUCAACCUCGGGCUUGCAUCGGGUACGGGCAGACUAGAGUGCGGUAGGGGAGACUGGAAUUCCUGGUGUAGCGGUGGAAUGCGCAGAUAUCAGGAGGAACACCGAUGGCGAAGGCAGGUCUCUGGGCCGCAACUGACGCUGAGGAGCGAAAGCAUGGGGAGCGAACAGGAUUAGAUACCCUGGUAGUCCAUGCCGUAAACGUUGGGCACUAGGUGUGGGGCUCAUUCCACGAGUUCCGUGCCGCAGCUAACGCAUUAAGUGCCCCGCCUGGGGAGUACGGCCGCAAGGCUAAAACUCAAAGGAAUUGACGGGGGCCCGCACAAGCGGCGGAGCAUGCGGAUUAAUUCGAUGCAACGCGAAGAACCUUACCAAGGCUUGACAUGUACGAGAACACGCUAGAGAUAGCGGACUCUUUGGACACUCGUACACAGGUGGUGCAUGGUUGUCGUCAGCUCGUGUCGUGAGAUGUUGGGUUAAGUCCCGCAACGAGCGCAACCC
rnacentral:rRNA from 1 species